rnacentral:rRNA from 1 species
AAUAUUGGACAAUGGGGGCAACCCUGAUCCAGCCAUGCCGCGUGUGUGAAGAAGGUCUUCGGAGUGUAAAGCACUUUAAGUUGGGAGGAAGGGCUUUAGGCUAAUAUCCUGAAGUUUUGACGUUACCAACAGAAUAAGCACCGGCUAACUCGGUGCAAGCAGCCGCGGUAAUACAGAGGUUGCAAGCGUUAAUUGGAAUUACAGGGCGUAAGGCGGGCGUAGGUGGUUCAGUAAGAUGGGUGUGAAAUCCCCGGGCUUAACCUGGGAACUGCUUUCAUAACUGCUGAGCUAGAGUACGGUAGAGGGUAGUGGAAUUUCCUGUGUAGCGGUGAAAUGCGUAGAUAUAGGAAGGAACACCAGUGGCGAAGGCGACUACCUGGACUGAUACUGACACUGAGGUGCGAAAGCGUGGGGAGCAAAC